UUCCGUAGGAGAACCUGCGGAAGGAUCAUUG
rnacentral:rRNA from 1 species